UUACAAACCCAGGUGAAGGGAGAUCCGGAAAGGCAAAUCCGCCGGAUCGUCUGCCAGGAGAAUCCUCUAAGGAGAGUUAGGUGACUGUACCACAAACGGACACACGUGGACGAGAUGAGUAUUCUCAGGCGCUCGGGUGAUGAGUUGUUAAGGAACUAGGCAAAUUAACCCCGUAACUUCGGGAGAAGGGGUGCCCAUGCAAAUGGGCCGCAGUGAAUAGCGUCAGGCGACUGUUUAACAAAAACACAGGUCCCUGCUAAGUCGAAAACGAUGUAUAGGGGCUGACGCCUGCCCGGUGCCGGAAGGUUAAAGGGAGUGGUUAGCGCAAGCGAAGCUACGAACUGAAGCCCCGGUGAACGGCGGCCGUAACUAUAACGGUCCUAAGGUAACAAAAUUCCUUGUCGGGUAAGUUCCGACCUGCACGAAUGGCGUAACGAUCUGACGACUGUCUCAACAACUCGCCCGGCGAAUUUGUGGUUCCGGUGAAGACGCCGGAUGCCCGCCACAAGACGGAAAGACCCCGUGCACCUUUACUAUACCCUAUCAGUGAAUUAUGGGUUGGACUGCGCAGGAUAGGUGGAGGCUUUGAGAUCGGGUUUUUGGACUCGAUGGAGCCAACGGUGAAAUACCACCCUGUGUAAUCUGUGAUUCUAACCUGCUUCCAUGAUCUGGAAGAGGGACACUGGUAGGCGGGUAGUUUGACUGGGGCGGUCGCCUCCUAAAUUGUAACGGAGGCGCUCGAAGCUGCGUUCAGGUGGUUUGGAAAUCCACCGACGAGUGCAAAGGCAUAAACGCGGUUAACUGCGAGACCUACAAGUCAAGCAGGUGGGAAACCAGGACUUAGUGAUCCGGUGGUUCUGUAUGGAAGGGCCAUCGCUCAACGGAUAAAAGGUACGCCGGGGAUAACAGGCUGAUCGGAGUCAAGAGUUCACAUCGACGCUCCGGUUUGGCACCUCGAUGUCGGUUCAUCGCAUCCCGGGGGUGUAGAAGCUCCCAAGGGUUAGGCUGUUCGCCUAUUAAAGCGGUACGUGAACUGGGUUCAGAACGUCGCGAGUCAGUUCGGUCCCUAUCUGUGGUGGGCGCAGGAAAUUUGAGGGGGCUUGGCCUAGUACGAGAGGACCGGGCUGAACGAACCUCUUGUGAUACAGUUGUCACUCCAGUGGCACAGCUGUGUAGCGAAGUUCGGUUAGGAUAAGCGCUGAAUGCAUAUAAGUGCGAAACCUUCCCCAAGAUGAGAUUUCCCAACCGUAAGGUAAUAAGGGCCGUGGAAGACUACCACGUUGAUAGGACGGGUGUGUAAGAGUAGUAAUACUUUGAGCUAACCGUUACUAAUAGCCCGUUCGGCUUGACCAU
rnacentral:rRNA from 1 species